rnacentral:rRNA from 1 species
AUUGAACGCUGGCGGCAGGCCUAACACAUGCAAGUCGAACGAGUGGCGGACGGGUGAGUAAUGUCUGGGAAACUGCCUGAUGGAGGGGGAUAACUACUGGAAACGGUAGCUAAUACCGCAUACCAACGGAUGUGCCCAGAGGGGAUUGGCUAGGAGGUGGGGUACAGGCUCACCUAGGCGACGAUCCCUAGCUGGUCUGAGAGGAUGACCAGCCACACUGGAACUGAUACGCGGUCCAGACUCCUACGGGAGGCAGGAGUGGGGAAUAUUGCACAAGGGGCGCGAGCGUGAUGCAGCCAUGCCGCGUGUAUUAAGAAGGCCUUCGGGGUGUAAAGUACUUUCAGCGGGGAGGCGUUACCCGCAGAAGAAGCACCGGCUAACUCCGGGCCAGCCGCCGCGGUAAUAC